rnacentral:rRNA from 1 species
UACGUAGGGCGCAAGCGUUGUCCGGAAUUAUUGGGCGUAAAGAGCUCGUAGGCGGUGUGUCACGUCGGCCGUGAAAACCUGCAGCUUAACUGUGGGCGUGCGGUCGAUACGGGCAUCACUGGAGUUCGGCAGGGGAGACUGGAAUUCCUGGUGUAGCGGUGAAAUGCGCAGAUAUCAGGAGGAACACCGGUGGCGAAGGCGGGUCUCUGGGCCGGAACUGACGCUGAGGAGCGAAAGCGUGGGGAGCGAACAGG